GACGAACGCUGGCGGCGUGCUUAACACAUGCAAGUCGAGCGGUAAGGCCUCUUCGGAGGUACACGAGCGGCGAACGGGUGAGUAACACGUGAGCAACCUACCCAUCACAUCGGGAUAACCCCCGGAAACGGGAGCUAAUACCGAAUACGACCACUUCAGACAUCUGACGGUGGUGGAAAGCUCUGGCGGUGGUGGAUGGGCUCGCGGCCUAUCAGCUUGUUGGUGGGGUAACGGCCUACCAAGGCUUCGACGGGUAGCCGGCCUGAGAGGGUGACCGGCCACACUGGGACUGAGACACGGCCCAGACUCCUACGGGAGGCAGCAGUGGGGAAUAUUGGACAAUGGGCGAAAGCCUGAUCCAGCAACGCCGCGUGAGGGAUGACGGCCUUCGGGUUGUAAACCUCUUUCAGCAGGGACGAAGCGCAAGUGACGGUACCUGCAGAAGAAGCACCGGCCAACUACGUGCCAGCCGCCGCAGUAA
rnacentral:rRNA from 1 species